UACGUAGGGAGCAAGCGUUGUUCGGAUUUACUGGGCGUAAAGGGCGCGUAGGCGGCCACCGCAAGUCGACUGUGAAAUCUCCGGGCUUAACCCGGAAAGGUCAGCCGAUACUGCGGGGCUAGAGUGCAGAAGGGGCAACUGGAAUUCUCGGUGUAGCGGUGAAAUGCGUAGAUAUCGAGAGGAACACCUGCGGCGAAGGCGGGUUGCUGGGCUGACACUGACGCUGAUGCGCGAAAGCCAGGGGAGCGAACGGG
rnacentral:rRNA from 1 species